ACUGGUUAGGUUUAGAAUUAGGUUAUGCAUUGUGACUUGGAUUAGGUUUGUAUGACGGUUACGAUUAAGAUUAGGGUUUACUUUAGGUUAAGGUUAGGACCACAAAGUAAAUCCCUCUGCUGAAAUUUAGCAAGGGAAUGCCUCUGGUGACGUCAGCAGAAGGAAUCCCUGUAUAACUAUUGCUAGGAUUAGGUUUAGGAAUAAGGUUAGGAUUAUGAUUAGGGUUAGGUUUAAGGUGAGGCUUGGGAUAAGGAUUAGAAUAGAAUACAGGAUAUUGCUACUUUGCAAAGGUAUAAAUAUAUGUGGUAUUGUACUCAUGUUGCGGAGUCAAGUUAAGGGAAUUUAAUUAUAG